rnacentral:rRNA from 1 species
GACGAACGCUGGCGGCGUGCUUAACACAUGCAAGUCGAACGAAGAGCGACGGAAGCUUGCUUCUAUCAAUCUUAGUGGCGAACGGGUGAGUAACGCGUAAUCAACCUGCCCUUCAGAGGGGGACAACAGUUGGAAACGACUGCUAAUACCGCAUACGAUCUAACCUCGGCAUCGAGGAUAGAUGAAAGGUGGCCUCUACAUGUAAGCUAUCACUGAAGGAGGGGAUUGCGUCUGAUUAGCCAGUUGGAGGGGUAACGGCCCACCAAGGCGAUGAUCAGUAGCCGGUCUGAGAGGAUGAACGGCCACAUUGGGACUGAGACACGGCCCAGACUCCUACGGGAGGCAGCAGUGGGGAAUCUUCCGCAAUGGACGAAAGUCUGACGGAGCAACGCCGCGUGAGUGAUGACGGCCUUCGGGUUGUAAAGCUCUGUUAAUCGGGACGAAAGGCCUUCUUGCGAAUAGUGAGAAGGAUUGACGGUACCGGAAUAGAAAGCCACGGCUAACUACGUG